rnacentral:lncRNA from 1 species
UUUUUUUUUUUUUUUCCCCAAAUGAGUUCACAGUCACAGGUUCUGGGGUUUAAGAUGUGGACAGAUGUUUUGUGAAGACCACCCUUCACCUCGUUACAAUGGCUAAUGUGUCAACAAGAUCAACUGGAAUGUGGCUUCCAGUGUUUCCCUGAUUGAUAACUCAUCUGCUAUUGCUUUGGGUGAGAACUGAAUUGCAGAGCAAAGUUGUGUAAGCAAGGUACAAAGUGAAGGGAAUGAGCUGGUUUGAGGAUAUACCUGGAGGACAUUUUAUAGGAAAGACAAAUACAUGAAGAAUAAGGACAAUUUUAGGUAAUUACUUCCAUCAAUUGUCUGUGGGAGGAGAAAAGUGUAUUAGGAUACCCAAGAAAUGGAAAUAGGGGAUAGUUAAAAGAUUAGCUGUUCACGAUUGGGUCACUCCAUUUACAAGUGCAUUGAAAAUGACUUUUUCCCAUCUGUUGAAGUUGAAAGCCUUUAAUGAUUAGAAACAGGCAACUCCUUUUCGCUUUACAUUUUCUUAAAGAAACUCUUCAAAUUACCUUUAAGCUAGUUAAAUGUGGUGGUAAAAUGUGGCAAGGCUUUAUGUAUUUAGUCUCUAAGAUGGCACCCUCCCCAGCACCCCACCCUGACAUUACCACAGAAUCUGUUCAGCUGCCAGGUGAGAUGGAAGAUGUGGAAAAGCAGGGUUCAAUGCCAAGGAACUGACAGGAACUCACCUCCUAAGGGAAAUAGGCCACGCUUUGCAUCAUACCAAAAGGAAGGAAAUUCCAGGCCUUUGCCUACAGAGUACCGAGUUUUCUUCUACACCACAUAUGCCUCUUACUGAAUGCUUGGAUUCAACACGACACACUCUCUGGGAAGCUGCUUUGAAAGCCUUCAAUCUUCAUGGUGCUCAAACCUACCUGAUAAUCUCCUUUUGGACUUGUCAGAUUGUAUGUUUAUCAUUUCUCUCUGACCCCACAAGGAGGGUACCCCAUUUGUAUGAAUCACUACUGAGUUCUCCAGCACCCAGGACAGAGUUUGGCUCUUAAAUGUGUUUGAUAAAAUGACAGCCCCAGGUGUCUUCAGCAGCAAUGUAUGGGGAUGUAUAUUCAAACACCCUUCAAAUGUCAUUGCUUAAAAUUAAAAGGCAGUGUAAGAGGAAUAAAUUAAAUUUGUAAAUGCUACUUUAAAAAUAGUUUGAGUAUAUAUCCUCUUUGGAAUUUUCUCCACCUAUAAAUAUCUUCUAUGUAAAAAUGAGGAGGAGAUGUAGAAAGAAGUCUUCCUUGCAUUAUUUUCGCUAUGAAUCUUUCUUUUCGUUGUUGUUGUUGCCUCUGCUGGUUUUGAAUAGCGGUGCCAGAUAAUAUGCUAAUCUUCAAGUUGUAAGCAACCAAAAGAAGCAAUUCAGAUUUGAAGUUGUGGUGGCAGUUCUGCCUUUCCCAUGGGUAAUGACAGCACCAGGGAUGUAUAAGAGGGUGGGACAACAGCUAGAGGCAUGAAUCAAAAAUGACUGAAUUGUCCACUUCUGAAAGGUAGCUCGUAAUAUAAUGUUUUGCUCAUACUGGGAAAAAGAAAUAGACUUUUUGAAAGGGAUUUGAUUUUGUUAAAAUAAAGAUAAACCCCCCAAAACCCCCAUUCAAUUAUCGAAUUGGCAGGACCCCAUAUCGCAUGACAUAGUUUAUAUUAAAAUACUUUUAAGUACCGCAAACAUAUUUAAUGCUGUGGCAGCACCGCAAGUGCCUCUGUAAAGCCAGGUGUCCCUGGUGCAAGCAGAUAACACACUUGCCAACUCAGGGAUUGUGCCAAAUACCAUUCAAUAUUAAAGUGUCACAGCAGGGGAGAGAUAUCCAGACGUCCGUCUCUGCAGCUGACAUUCCACCAAAUCUUCUUG